rnacentral:rRNA from 1 species
CCUACGGGAGGCAGCAGUGGGGAAUAUUGGACAAUGGGGGCAACCCUGAUCCAGCCAUGCCGCGUGUGUGAAGAAGGCCCUCGGGUUGUAAAGCACUUUCAGUGAGGAAGAACGCCUGGUGGUUAAUACCCAUCAGGAAAGACAUCACUCACAGAAGAAGCACCGGCUAACUCCGUGCCAGCAGCCGCGGUAAUACGGAGGGUGCGAGCGUUAAUCGGAAUUACUGGGCGUAAAGCGCGCGUAGGUGGCUUGAUAAGCCGGUUGUGACAGCCCCGGGCUCAACCUGGGAACGGCAUCCGGAACUGUCAAGCUAGAGUGCAGGAGAGGAAGGUAGAAUUCCCGGUGUAGCGGUGAAAUGCGUAGAGAUCGGGAGGAAUACCAGUGGCGAAGGCGGCCUUCUGGACUGACACUGACACUGAGGUGCGAAAGCGUGGGUAGCAAACAGGAUUAGAUACCCUGGUAGUC